rnacentral:miRNA from 1 species
UUUUUCAUGUAAGUAGGUCCCAUGAUAUAUCUGGGACAUACUUAUACUAAAA